CAAACCACUGAGUUCUGCUUUAGCGCCCGAGGCGCCUGCGGGGAGGAGAUCCAGCCCUCCUGCCCAUGUGGGGACGCCUGCGAGCACGCUGGUGCGGCAGGUCCAGGGUGAAUCGCUACGGAGGUCCCAGGGAUGCAGGCACUUCAACGUCCCCGCCACGCCCCAGGGAAUGGGCCUACAGAGUUGAAUGAAAGAAUCCAGACAACAGAAGAACAAUACAUGAGUCUAAAAGCAGCACGCCAGCACAAUUAAUCUCUGUGGAAAAGACAGGAGACCAGCUACUUCAGAUAACACCAUUAUGUUGAGAUACUGGUGUGGGACAUUUUCUUUGACUUAGGAAUAGAAAGGCAUCUUUCAUGCACUAAAAAAAGAAUACAGUAUGAUUAAAGAGAAGUGAUUUUUUUAGUUAGUUUAUUUUGCCUAUGUUCUCAAAUGAUAUCCAUGCUACAUUUAGCAUAAUUACCCAAUAUGUAAAUAAUUUUAAGUA